rnacentral:lncRNA from 1 species
UUAAUUAGUUUGCUCAAUUCUGAUCAGAAAUGAUCAAGCGUUCUGUCAAUGCUCUAGGUUGGGAAUGCGGUAAUUGACGAUUACCAUGACUACAUUGGCACAUUUGAGUACUGGUGGACGCAUGGGCUUAUCUCCGAUGAAACCUAUCAGAAGUUGCGGUUGGCCUGUGAAUUUGAUUCAGCAGAGCACCCCUCUAAGGAGUGCAACAAGAUCAAUGAUAUUGCUGAAGCAGAGCAUGGGAGUAUUGACGCAUACAGCAUCUACACGCCCACUUGUAAGAAGACUUCACUUCAUAAGCGCAGGCAAAUAAGGGGAAGAACGGUAUGUUUGCUUUGAUACAAAAACUUUAAAAGACAUUUUUCUGAUAGCUGCUGGUAGUACUGUACGUUCCCUAGGUUCUUUUGACCAUCGUCCAUCAUGUGAAUAUUUACUGAACUAUUCGCACACUUCUGAGAGUGUAAUAUUUCAUCUAUCUCCUAACUACAUUUUUUUUUUCAAAUGUAGCCCUGGUUGCCGAGAGGAUAUGAUCCCUGCACCGAAAAGUACUCCGAAAAGUACUACAACUUACCCGAGGUGCAGAAAGCUUUACAUGCCAAUGUCACUGGAAUACCGUAUGCCUGGGUAGCCUGCAGGUCUGUUCUGCUGGUUUGGUCUUGUUUUGAUCACAACUAUUUCGUUUGGCCAACCAAUAAAGCUGCCUGUUCUUUAAUAUUAUGGACUAAACACCACUGCUUAUAUGCAGUGAUCCAAUUUAUGACUACUGGAAAGAUUCACCGAAGUCCAUGCUUCCUAUUUAUCGUGAACUUAUCGCGGCAGGCAUAAGGAUAUGGGUCUUCAGGUACGUUGAAUUUCUGGUGUGUAACAUGGUGCUGACUGAAUUCUAAAUCUCUGAGAAAAAAAAGGCAUCAUAGUGUUUGACAUAACAAAUCAUGAUAAAUUGAUAAUCAUACAAUGGGGGUGGUACCGUAAUUUGACCUGGUAAAUCAGUGUGGAUAAUCUCUUACAUUGGACGAUUUUGGCAGUGGUGAUGCUGAUUCCGUUGUCCCCCUCACCGCGACAAGAUACUCCAUUGAUGCGCUCUCUCUACCAACAGUGACAAACUGGUAUCCUUGGUAUGACAAUGGAGAGGUUAGUCAGCGUCACUAAUACGGCAACAAUGACCGAUUAACUAUCUUCCCUAGUUUCAAAGCUACUUUUCUAAUGGCAUGGAUCUUGCUCAGGUUGGUGGAUGGUGCCAAGUGUACAAGGGCUUGACACUGGUAACAGUCCGCGGUGCAGGGCACGAGGUUGCCCUCCACCGUCCACGGCAAGGCCUGAAGCUAUUCGAGCACUUCCUGCGCGAUGAGCCCAUGUCCAAGGCUGUAGAUAGCAUUCAAACGUUUUAGAAUGUGCUAUCUCGAUUGAUGGAGAAGAAAAAACAGGCUGCGUCAAGCCAUGUAGUUGUAAAAGCCAUGGUGAACGCAUUUCGCCUGCGCAAUAAAUCGACGUCGAUCGGCCGUCACAUCUUUGCCUUUCGGAUUUCUUGCGUACAUGCAAUUCCUUUCCAGAGGAACGGCAAAAACUACGAAAUUCCUGCAAAAAAAUCCUUCGAUCCAAACAGGGCAAAUUCGCAAUGUAGUUUCGUUUCAAGCUGCACGAGAACAUGUGUACCAAUCACGAUUCGUCUCGGACUGCGCUAGGCAAGGUAGCACAGCAGCAUUCCCAUUCGGCCAUUCCACGCCUUCCACGCUUCCCCGAAUCCUCAGCUACCACCAUUCCGUUCCAUUCCAUUGGCUCCCCACUCCAAGACCACCCCUCCAUUUGCUCUGCUGCUCUUAUCCAAUCAGCGCUCCUCCAUUGACCCACCGCGAGCGCCAAAUCGCCAAUGGCGGCCGCCGCGGCCGCGGCCCUGGCCGCCGUACUGGCGCUGUCCUGCUGUAACGUCGCGUCGGCCACGGCGGAGGCGGAGGCGGACCGCAUCGCGAGCCUGCCGGGGCAGCCGCCGGUCAACUUCUCCAUGUACUCCGGGUACGUCACCGUCGACGCGGCCGCGGGGCGGGCGCUCUUCUACUGGCUCAUCGAGGCGGCCGGCGUGCCCCCGGAGUCCGCGCCGCUCGUGCUCUGGCUCAACGGCGGGCCCGGGUGCUCCUCCGUCGGCUACGGCGCAUCGGAGGAGCUUGGCGCCUUCCGGAUCAACGCCGACAGCAGGUCGCUCUCCAGGAACCCCUACCCCUGGAACAAAGGUCCGAUUUUUCUGGGGGGCCUUUCUAUUCGCACUCGGCUACUCUGUUCAGUUCUGAUGUGUAGCUUGUUUGUCAUGGUGAUAUGAUGAUUGGCUGGUUGGGUCGCAGUGGCGAACAUGCUGUUCUUGGACUCGCCGGCCGGCGUCGGCUACUCCUACUCCAACACCACCACCGAUCUGUACACUGCCGGUGACAACAAGACAGGUGAAUUUGGGGAUUAAUUUAGCUACUACUUGUCUAAUUCUGCUAUUACAUUUAUUCAUUCCUCUGUUGCUAUUUUGAGCUCUUACGGGUGCUUCCUGCUGAUGCUGUUCUGCAGCCCAUGACUCGUACACUUUCUUGGUGAAUUGGUUGGAGCGGUUUCCACAAUACAAGCAACGCGAUUUCUACAUCACAGGAGAGAGCUACGGAGGUGAAUUGCUAUCAAAAUUGGUCAACUGUAGCAGAAAGAUUAUGCAAAACGUUAUCCAGUGAUCAUAUUUACAUUCCUCGGGCCUAAUUUGUUGCAAUGACUGCUUUUCAGGUCACUAUGUGCCUCAGUUGUCUCAGCUAGUAUACCGGAACAACAAAGGAGUUAAAAAGCCUGUCCUGAACCUCAAAGGCUUCAUGGUCAGAUCUUCUUAACUCUUAAGCUCAUUUUUUAUAAUGCUCUCUUGAUUGGUUCACUCAUUUCUGGUCAGAAAUGAUCGAGUGUUCUGUCAAUGCUUCUAGGUUGGAAAUGCGGUGAUUGACGACUACCAUGACUACAUUGGCACAUUUGAGUACUUGUGGACGCAUGGGCUUAUCUCAGAUGAAACCUAUGAGAAGUUGCGGUUGACCUGUGAGUUUGAAGUAUCUGAGCACCCGUCGAAGGAAUGUGAGAAGAUUUUAGAAGUUGCUUCGGCUGAGCAAGGGAAGAUUGAUACAUACAGCAUCUAUACUCCUACUUGUAAGAAGACUUCGCUGCAUAGGCACAGGCUAAUAAGAGGAAGAACGGUAUGCUUGCUUUGCUACCAAAACAUGACAUUUAUAACUGAAUUUUCCCUAGAUUAUUUUGACAAUUGUGCAACUACUUACUGUAUAUCACAUUUGUGAAAGUGUAAUAUCUUAGUGAAGCAAAAUAGUUCGUGUAUCUGCUAACAACACAUUUCUUCAAUUG